GCGUGUUUCCCUUCUCCUGUGAAUGUGCAUGCGUGUGCACAUGCACACACACACACACACACACACACACACACACACACACACACACACACACA
rnacentral:miRNA from 1 species